CCAGGUUAGACAAACCCAUUAAGAAAAGUAGCAUUAAAUCAAAGCAAAGCAUACAGAGCCUAAGGAAAAAGAUAAGAUGAAGCAUUCACUACUUACUUCACCUCUGUUUACCAAAAUUUUAUUUUUAUAAAAAGAUAAAAAUCAUGGAUUCAUUUGGUUUAAAAUAUACAUUCUAUCAUUAGUAAACAUCAAAUGAAUCCCUUUCGAGCGAGUUUGGUCAGAUCUAUUUACUAAAUCCACAGUUUCCUUCAAUACAGCCUCCAAGACUUCAUUUUUAUCCCCCAAUUUCUCUUGCUCUUAACUCGAGACUCCCAAAAAGAUGAACUUUACCUCGCUGCAAAAUAUAAGGAAAAGAAAAGAAGACAUUACACAACUACCAAGAAAAGGAAAAAAGAAAAAGAAAAGUUUAAUGAAAAAAAUGAUACCCAGUUUUCAAAAGGCUUGAUCUUGAAUUUAGAUUACUGUUGAGGAACCAAAAUGAGAACAGCCCAAUAACUCUAAAACACAACAAACCAGGAAAGAAGAAAAAGACCAAACAGAGAAGAAGAAGAAGAAGAAGAAGACGAACCGCUUAAAGAAGUAGAGACGAGCGACGGUAGAAGGGACGGUCUACGACAAUGCAGCAGAUUUGGGAAAGGUUCGGGUCGUGGAGCGCAGUAGACUAGGGUUCUUG
rnacentral:lncRNA from 1 species